rnacentral:rRNA from 1 species
UACAGAGGUCUCGAGCGUUAGGCGGAAUCACUGGGCUUAAAGCGCGUGUAGGCGGAUCGUUAAGUGCCUUGUGAAAUCCCACGGCUUAACCGUGGAACUGCUUGGCAUACUGGCGAUCUUGAGCCAUCUAGGGGCCUGCGGAACAAACGGUGGAGCGGUGAAAUGCGUAGAUAUCAGGAGGAACACCGAUGGCGAAGGCAGGUCUCUGGGCCACUACUGACGCUGAGGAGCGAAAGCGUGGGGAGCGAACAGG